rnacentral:rRNA from 1 species
UACGGAAGGUCCGGGCGUUAUCCGGAUUUAUUGGGUUUAAAGGGAGCGCAGGCGGCCUUUUAAGCCAGCUGUGAAAUACGGCGGCCCAACCGUCGGAUUGCAGUUGGAACUGGUAGGCUUGAGUGCGGACAGGGAAGCGGGAACUCACGGUGUAGCGGUGAAAUGCGCAGAUAUCGUGAAGAACUCCGAUGGCGAAGGCA